AGUGAACGCUGGCGGUAGGCCUAACACAUGCAAGUCGAACGGCAGCACAGUAAGAGCUUGCUCUUACGGGUGGCGAGUGGCGGACGGGUGAGGAAUACAUCGGAAUCUACUUUUUCGUGGGGGAUAACGUAGGGAAACUUACGCUAAUACCGCAUACGACCUACGGGUGAAAGCAGGGGAUCUUCGGACCUUGCGCGAUUGAAUGAGCCGAUGUCGGAUUAGCUAGUUGGCGGGGUAAAGGCCCACCAAGGCGACGAUCCGUAGCUGGUCUGAGAGGAUGAUCCGCCACACUGGAACUGAAACACGGUCCAGACUCCUACGGGAGGCAGCAGUGGGGAAUAUUGGACAAUGGGCGCAAGCCUGAUCCAGCCCUACCGCGUGGGUGAAGAAGGCCUUCGGGUUGUAAAGCCCUUUUGUUGGGAAAGAAAAGCAGCAGGUUAAUACCCCGCUGUUCUGACGGUACCCAAAGAAUAAGCACCGGCUAACUUCGUG
rnacentral:rRNA from 1 species